rnacentral:rRNA from 1 species
AACGAACGCUGGCGGCGUGUUUAAGACAUGCAAGUCGCACGGGACUAUUUGAGUAGCAAUACAAGAAUAGUUUAGUGGCGCACGGGUGAGUAACACGUGAAUUACAUGCCCUGCAGAGGGGGAUAGCCCAGGGAAACUUGGAUUAAUACCCCAUGGUAUCGCGAGAUUAAAGGUGGCCGCAAGGCUGUCGCUGCAGGCUUGGUUCGCGCCCUAUCAGCUUGUUGGUGAGGUAACGGCUCACCAAGGCUACGACGGGUACCUGGUCUGAGAGGACGAUCAGGCACACUGGAACUGAGACACGGUCCAGACACCUACGGGUGGCAGCAGUCGAGAAUAAUUCACAAUGGGGGCAACCCUGAUGGUGCAACGCCGCGUGGAGGAUGAAGGUCUUCGGAUUGUAAACUCCUGUCAUCCGGGAGUAAGACCUGGCGAUGAAUAGUCGACAGGGGUGAUAGUACCGGAAGAGGAAGGGACGGCUAACUUCGUGCCAGCCGCCGCAGUAA